rnacentral:rRNA from 1 species
GGGGGGAGCAAGCGUUGUUCGGAUUUACUGGGCGUAAAGGGCGCGUAGGCGGCCACCGCAAGUCGACUGUGAAAUCUCUGGGCUUAACCCAGAACGGUCAGCCGAUACUGCGGGGCUAGAGUGCAGAAGGGGCAACUGGAAUUCUCGGUGUAGCGGUGAAAUGCGUAGAUAUCGAGAGGAACACCUGCGGCGAAGGCGGGUUGCUGGGCUGACACUGACGCUGAGGCGCGGAAGCUAGGGGAGCGAACGGGAUUAGAUACCCCGGUAGUCCUAGCCUUAAACGAUGAAUGCUUGGUGUCUGGGGUUUUAUAGUCCCCGGGUGCCGUCGCUAACGCUUUAAGCAUUCCGCCUGGGGAGUACGGUCGCAAGACUG